rnacentral:misc_RNA from 1 species
CAUUGGUUAGAGCGCGCGCUUGAUAAGCGUGAGGUCGGAAGUUCAAGUCUUCCCAGGCCCACCACACUCAUCGGGUAAGCAUUCGUCUUCUGGUUACGGGGCCAUAGCUCAGCUGGGAGAGCGCGUGCUUUGCAAGCAUGAGGUCGUCGGUUCGAUCCCGUCUGGCUCCACCAGAUGGUUUGAUCACCGACGCUGUGUUUGCAGCUAUUCAACCGUCGUCCGCGAAACAUCACUUCGCACCUACUAGUCUGGAUAGACAGUAGGUUGCGUGAUUUCUGACAUCGUAAAGAGGAGAUCGAUCCGAGUUGGAUCGGGCAGCAAGCAAUUGCUGCGCGAACCUUCAUUAUCUCCGGAUCAUUUCGGCGCUCGCGCGCCUUUCAAUGCGGCUCACAAGGCUGCGUCUGAGGGGAAUGCGGGUUGUAAAUGAUCCUUUUAGCGAAGCUUGACCGCCUCGCUAUCGGAACGAUCUUACGAAGCAAGCUGGUCUUUCUAAUCAUUGUCCGGCUGUACGUAGCGUUCAUCGAGGGCGCGUGCCGCAAGGCAAUCGUACAGACAACAUUCUGCCGAGUGUGUGGACAUUGAUAAUGAGAGCAAUCAAGUGCCUUAAGGGUGUUCGGUGGAUGCCUUGGCGCUGAGAGGCGAUGAAGGACGUGCUACGCUGCGAUAAGCCGUGGGGAGCUGCGAAGAAGCUUUGAUCCAUGGAUUUCCGAAU